ensembl:snoRNA small nucleolar RNA SNORD112
UGGACCAAUGAUGACAAAGUGUUUAUGAACAAAGGAUCAUGAUAAUCCAGUUCUGCGAAAAAUACCGAGGUCCAUU